rnacentral:lncRNA from 1 species
UUUUAUGAUUUUAUCAUUAGAUAAAAGAAAUAAGUGAUUAUGCUAACUUUGUUAAGAAUCCAACAUUUUUCUUUAGAAUGAUAAUUGAAUGUUUCAUUGAACUAUAAAAAAGGGAAAUAUAAUUAUAAAUUGGACAAAGAAUAAAAAUUGAAGUAGGUAUACUGUAAUGUGAGAACUAAGUUGAAAAUGUUAAUAUAAACUAAUGACAUUUAGUAAAGUAUACCUUUUUGAACUCUGUUCAAUGAAAUGACCAACCAAUAAUAUUACUCCACCAUGAUGAGCCUGAGCACAUGCACUCCUAAUGCCUAAAUUUGGGGGUCUAAUACUAUUUUUCACUUAAAGGAAACAAUAUGACUUAGGAAAGUGGCUGAUUCAAGUCUGGGUCUAGGAAGGUACAGAUGAGUCUUUGAACAUUUUAUUGAGCCAGAAAGCAAGAAUGCUUUCAAAAAUAAUGAUGUUGCAUGGAAGAACACAGAAGCCAGUUUAAAGGGACACUCAUUGGCAAUUUGAGCAUCAAAAGGAAAAUGAUGACUAUGAGAUGUUCAGCACAUUUGAAUCACUAAAGCUACUUGUGCCUGCCAUGAUAUGCCGUCUAUGAAGUGAUGCUGCUUAUGUAGUAAUGUCUCUCACUCCAACAGAGACCCCUCUCAUGGAGGAGCAACAAGCCAAGGGGCUCCGCAGGAAUGAUUCCAGCUCUCAGUGAUGCAAUCUGUCUGGGAACGAGAGGAAGACCAUCUGUUGACCCUCAGAAUCAACGUGCUUUCCUGAACCUCUUUCCCUGUAGUUAGUGCCCCUGCUCUGUUUUCUGCAUACCUUGCCAAGCCCCCCAAUUUCUAGGGUCUAGAAAGCCUCCACUUUAUGGAGUAUGAGAUUCUCCAUCAUUCCCCUGGGGCCUAGGCUUGUUCCUGCUCAGCCCCCACUGGACAAUGGCUUUCUGGAGGAGAGGCCGAGGAUGGGACUUGGGACUUAUCUAGAAUACAGUCCUCUAAAUUCAGGCUGAAGGGGGACCCCCAAGAUGUCCUUCCUUCCCAGGUCAAACUUGAACUCAAUUAAAAUGGUGUGUAUGACUCUUCUGAAGGAAGGCUGGUCUUUCACCUGGCAUCCCCCUAGGCUCUUAAAAGCAGGGAAGAAUGAAGAGGAAGUGGGCCCCUUCCCUUCAUCACUGGUCACCGU